AAACCUUUCAAACGUCGCGGUGACCCGCAGGCCCGGAUGCCAGGGCGUAAAGGUGGAAGCUGGUGCAAGUCCAGCGCUGUGCCGCAACUGUAACCGAUCGUAUCGUCGGAAGCCAGGAUGCCUGCCGCGACACUGUGUGUUCG
rnacentral:ncRNA from 2 species